GACGAACGCUGGCGGCGUGCUUAACACAUGCAAGUCGAACGGAAAGGCCCUGCUUUUGUGGGGUGCCCGAGUGGCGAACGGGUGAGUAACACGUGAGUAACCUGCCCUUGACUUUGGGGUAACUUCAGGAAACUGGGGUUAAUACCGGAUAGGAGCUCCUGCUGCAUGGUGGGGGUUGGAAAGUUUCGGCGGUUGGGGAUGGACUCGCGGCUUAUCAGCUUGUUGGUGGGGUAGUGGCUUACCAAGGCUUUGACGGGUAGCCGGCCUGAGAGGGUGACCGGCCACAUUGGGACUGAGAUACGGCCCAGACUCCUACGGGAGGCAGCAGUGGGGAAUAUUGCACAGUGGGCGGAAGCCUGAUGCAGCAACGCCGCGUGCGGGAUGACGGCCUUCGGGUUGUAAACCGCUUUCGCCUGUGACGAAGCGUGAGUGACGGUAAUGGGUAAAGAAGCACCGGCUAACUACGUG
rnacentral:rRNA from 1 species